UACGUAGGGUGCGAGCGUUGUCCGGAAUUACUGGGCGUAAAGAGCUCGUAGGCGGUUUGUCGCGUCGGAUGUGAAAACCCAGGGCUCAACCCUGGGCCUGCAUUCGAUACGGGCAGACUAGAGUAUGGCAGGGGAGACUGGAAUUCCUGGUGUAGCGGUGAAAUGCGCAGAUAUCAGGAGGAACACCGGUGGCGAAGGCGGGUCUCUGGGCCAAAACUGACGCUGAGGAGCGAAAGCGUGGGGAGCGAACAGG
rnacentral:rRNA from 1 species